GGCUAACCCGUCUCUGUGGCAAAAGAGUGGGGAGAUCUCCAGGUAGGGGUGACAGACCUACCGAGCUUAGUGAUAGCUGGUUGCCUAAGAAAUGAAUAAAAGUCCAGCCUCAUACUCCUUACUUCACAAACAAAGACCAAAAGAAACAUAUGAGAGUUAAUCAAAGGGGGUACAGCCCCUUUGAUACAGGAAACAACCUCACACAGGAGGUUAAAGAUUAUAACAAACAAGACAAG
rnacentral:rRNA from 1 species